AAGCCUGAUCCAGCCAUGCCGCGUGUGUGAAGAAGGCCUUUUGGUUGUAAAGCACUUUAAGCGAGGAGGAGGCUCCUUUAGUUAAUACCUAAAGUGAGUGGACGUUACUCGCAGAAUAAGCACCGGCUAACUCUGUGCCAGCAGCCGCGGUAAUACAGAGGGUGCGAGCGUUAAUCGGAUUUACUGGGCGUAAAGCGUGCGUAGGCGGCUUUUUAAGUCGGAUGUGAAAUCCCUGAGCUUAACUUAGGAAUUGCAUUCGAUACUGGAAAGCUAGAGUAUGGGAGAGGAUGGUAGAAUUCCAGGUGUAGCGGUGAAAUGCGUAGAGAUCUGGAGGAAUACCGAUGGCGAAGGCAGCCAUCUGGCCUAAUACUGACGCUGAGGUACGAAAGCAUGGGGAGCAAACAGGAUUAGAUACCCUGGUAGUCCAUGCCGUAAACGAUGUCUACUAGCCGUUGGGGCCUUUGAGGCUUUAGUGGCGCAGCUAACGCGAUAAGUAGACCGCCUGGGGAGUACGGUCGCAAGACUAAAACUCAAAUGAAUUGACGGGGGCCCGCACAAGCGGUGGAGCAUGUGGUUUAAUUCGAUGCAACGCGAAGAACCUUACCUGGCCUUGACAUACUAAGAACUUUCCAGAGAUGGAUUGGUGCCUUCGGGAACUUAGAUACAGGUGCUGCAUGGCUGUCGUCAGCUCGUGUCGUGAGAUGUUGGGUUAAGUCCCGCAACGAGCGCAACCCUUUUCCUUAUUUGCCAGCGGGU
rnacentral:rRNA from 1 species